rnacentral:rRNA from 1 species
AGCAGCCGCGGUAAUUCCAGCUCCAAUAGCGUAUAUUAAAGUUGUUGCAGUUAAAAAGCUCGUAGUUGAAUUUCGGGGUUAGUAGGUUGGUCAUGCCUCUGGUAUGUACUGGUCUCACUGAUUCCUCCUUCCUGAUGAGCCGUAAUGCCAUUAAUUUGGUGUUGCGGGGAAUUUGGACUGUUACUUUGAAAAAAUUGAGUGUUUAAAGCAAGCUAACGCUCGAAUACAUUAGCAUGGAAUAAUGAAAUAGGACGUUCGAUCCUAUUUUGUUGGUUUCUAGGAUUGACGUAAUGAUUAAUAGGGAUAGUUGGGGGCAUUAGUAUUCAAUUGUCAGAGGUGAAAUUCUUGGAUUUAUUGAAGACUAACUACUGCGAAAAGCAUUUGCCAAGGAUGUUUUCAUUAAUCAAGAACGAAAGUUAGGGAUCGAAGACGAUCAGAUACCGUCGUAGUCUUAACCAUAAACUAUGCCGACUAGGGAUCGGAUGAUGUUAUUUUUAAUGACUCAUUCGGNGUACCG